rnacentral:rRNA from 1 species
GACGAACGCUGGCGGCGUGCUUAACACAUGCAAGUCGUACGGUAAGGCCCUUUCGGGGGUACACGAAUGGCGAACGGGUGAGUAACACGUGAGUAACCUGCCCACAACUUUGGGAUAACGCUAGGAAACUGGUGCUAAUACUGGAUAUGUGCUCCUGCUGCAUGGUGGGGGUUGGAAAGCUCCGGCGGUUGUGGAUGGACUCGCGGCCUAUCAGCUUGUUGGUGGGGUAGUGGCCUACCAAGGCGGCGACGGGUAGCCGGCCUGAGAGGGUGACCGGCCACAUUGGGACUGAGAUACGGCCCAGACUCCUACGGGAGGCAGCAGUGGGGAAUAUUGCACAAUGGGCGCAAGCCUGAUGCAGCAACGCCGCGUGCGGGAUGACGGCCUUCGGGUUGUAAACCGCUUUCAGCAGGGACGAAGCUUUUUGUGACGGUACCUGCAGAAGAAGCACCGGCUAACUACGUG